rnacentral:rRNA from 1 species
UACGUAGGGUGCGGGCGUUAAUCGGAAUUACUGGGCGUAAAGCGUGCGCAGGCGGUUCGCUGUGUCCGAUGUGAAAGCCCCGGGCUUAACCUGGGAAUGGCAUUGGAAACUGGCGGGCUUGAGUGUGGCAGAGGGGGGUGGAAUUCCGCGUGUAGCAGUGAAAUGCGUAGAGAUGCGGAGGAACACCGAUGGCGAAGGCAGCCCCCUGGGCUAACACUGACGCUCAGGCACGAAAGCGUGGGGAGCAAACAGG